ACAAUGAAGAGUUUGAUCCUGGCUCAGGAUGAACGCUAGCGGCAGGCUUAACACAUGCAAGUCGAGGGGCAGCGGGGGUAGCAAUACCCGCCGGCGACCGGCGCAAGGGUGCGUAACGCGUGAGCAACAUGCCUGUAACAGUGGGAUAACCCGGAGAAAUUCGGACUAAUACCGCAUAUUGACAUUAGGGAGCAUUUUUUGGUGUUG
rnacentral:rRNA from 1 species